CAGUCGAGCGGACCGACGGGAGCUUGCUCCCUUAGGUCAGCGGCGGACGUGUGAGUAACACGUGGGUAACCUGCCUGUAAGACUGGGAUACAUCUUCCGGGAAACCGGGGCUAAUACCGGAUGCUUGAUUGAACCGCAUGGUUCAAUCAUAAAAGGCGGCUUCGGCUGCCGUUUACAGAUGGACCCGCGGCGCAUUAGCUAGUUGGUGAGGUAACGGCUCACCAAGGCGACGAUGCGUAGCCGACCUGAGAGGGUGAUCGGCCACACUGGGACUGAGACACGGCCCAGACUCCUACGGGAGGCAGCAGUAGGGAAUCUUCCGCAAUGGACGAGAGUCUGACGGAGCAACGCCGCGUGAGUGAUGAAGGUUUUCGGAUCGUAAAGCUCUGUUGUUAGGGAAGAACAAGUACCGUUCGAAUAGGGCGGUACCUUGACUGUACCUAACCAGAAAGCCACGGCUAACUACGUGCCAGCAGCCGCGGUAAUACGUAGGUGGCAAGCGUUGUCCGGAAUUAUUGGGCGUAGAGCGCGC
rnacentral:rRNA from 1 species